rnacentral:rRNA from 1 species
UACGUAGGGUGCGAGCGUUGUCCGGAAUUAUUGGGCGUAAAGGGCUCGUAGGCGGUCUGUUGCGUCGGGAGUGAAAACUUACAGCUUAACUGUGAGCGUGCUUCCGAUACGGGCAGACUUGAGGUAUUCAGGGGAGAACGGAAUUCCUGGUGUAGCGGUGAAAUGCGCAGAUAUCAGGAGGAACACCGGUGGCGAAGGCGGUUCUCUGGGAAUAUCCUGACGCUGAGGAGCGAAAGUGUGGGGAGCGAACAGG